rnacentral:rRNA from 1 species
AAACUGAAGAGUUUGAUCAUGGCUCAGAUUGAACGCUGGCGGCAGGCCUAACACAUGCAAGUCGAACGGUAACAGGAAGCAGCUUGCUGCUUCGCUGACGAGUGGCGGACGGGUGAGUAAUGUCUGGGAAACUGCCUGAUGGAGGGGGAUAACUACUGGAAACGGUGGCUAAUACCGCAUAACGUCGCAAGACCAAAGAGGGGGACCUUCGGGCCUCUUGCCAUCAGAUGUGCCCAGAUGGGAUUAGCUGGUUGGUGAGGUAACGGCUCACCAAGGCGACGAUCCCUAGCUGGUCUGAGAGGAUGACCAGCCACACUGGAACUGAGACACGGUCCAGACUCCUACGGGAGGCAGCAGUGGGGAAUAUUGCACAAUGGGCGCAAGCCUGAUGCAGCCAUGCCGCGUGUAUGAAGAAGGCCUUCGGGUUGUAAAGUACUUUCAGCGGGGAGGAAGGUGUUGUGGUUAAUAAC